ensembl:lncRNA
CCCUGCACUUGCCCAGGUCCUGCACAGCCAGGGUGUCACCUACCCACCCCUCCCAGAGACCACUUUACAGAAUGGAAGGGAGGCUGGGGAAAGAGGCUCCAGCUGCACCCCCUGAGGUUCGAGUCACCCCUCACUGGGAAGGCCGGGAGGAGGCUCACCCCACACGGCUGCACACCGCAGGAGCCCAGCAAAGGCCAGCCUUCUCCCCGACACAUCUUUCCUUCCAUCUGCUCUGUGCAGGGUGCUGGAGACAGAGGAUGCCCUCCUGGCUGUGGGGCCCCUGUCUCCUCCCGGUAUUCCUGGAGAUCCUGUCGAUUCUUCCUGCUCUGUCUACGAAGAGGUUCUGCCUCCUGGGUGGAUCUGAGGGGCUGGGAGCCCCCUCCACCCAGCCCGAGGCUUCCUGCCUGGGAUUCUGCCUCACAGCUGCUUCCCCGGGAGAAUUACAGACCCCUCCUCGUGUAACCAGGGCCACCCGACCCCUCCCAGCUGACCCUGCUCUCAUAAACAGCCAGGCCAGACCCCCUGCCUACUCCCCAUAGGGUCCAACUCUCCUCCAACUGCUCACCUAUUCUGUGGGCACCGACACAGUUCCCAAUGGGAGGGGCCAAGCUAGGGAGGAGCGGAGACUCCCGGAGGGGCACACCUCCCCUGUGGCCUCAGUGGUCACUUCUUGAGUGAGAGAGCUGGACCACGUGACUUCUGUCAUCCUUUCUGGUCUCAAAGAUAAACUGCGGGCUGGAGAGUCCGUGCUUAGUUUCUCCGGAUCGCUUCAGAUGGAGGAGCCGAAGCAUCCCACAGAGAUAUAGGAACUUGCCCAGGGUCACACAGCGAGGAGGUGGAGGCCAGGAUUUGCACUCAGCCUCUCCUCUCAGCAUCUGCCCAUAAAUCACUCUGACACCCCGACGAGGGGGGUACGGACAGAUUCCACAUCACCUCCGUGGGACUUUCUGAGCCUCUAGAAUCCUCUCAGCCAAGCCCCACAGCCCAUGACAAAUCGGGACUCCAGUUCCUGCUCAUCAAUGACAGCCAAGGACUUUGCCUCGCCAAGCCUUGUGGCUCUCUCUCAGGACACCAGGCCGGCACAUCCGUCACUGCCCGGGGCCUCCAGCCCAGGCUCCAGCCGCUGGCUAUGGCAGCGGAUCAAAGGGCUUGGAGGACGAGGCCGACAGCUGGGCAGGCCCACUGCCCUUGCUGACCCUGGGCUAGCGGCCCAGGCCUCAGGAGAGUGGGGCCUGGAGGGGCCUGAGGACGAGGCUGCAACAGAGCGGAUUCAGCUUCAGCAAACAGCAUCUACUGGGCACCAGACCGGGCCGGGUUUUGCUCCAUCACUGAACUGGAUGCCCACGUCGUGUUAACCCACAUGAUAGAUGAGGACAUCAACCCCAGAGGCCUGUUCUGUCUGCGUCUCCUCCUGCUGGCCAUCCUUACCCACAAAGGAGAGGGUAUAUCCAGGGAAACCUAGUGGAAGCAACCAGAUGGAGCGGGGAGAGAUGCAGGAAAGCUGGGGAGGGGGAAGGAGGCCCUUGAACACCAGGAUAGUGUCUCUGGACCUGAUCUGUUCAGCUUGGAGGGCUCCAGGACCACGGCUCCCUCCUCACCUGGCUCGGCCCUCCGAGACCCACAGCUGGCACAGGGACUGGAGAGGUUGCUACAGGCCUCCAGCUCCCCGUCUGUGAAAUGGGUGGGUCGGACUCUGCUCUCCAAGAGGCCUUCUAGCCCUGAGGUGGGGACGGGGGCGCAGAGGAGGUGUUCCAGAAAGGAGGCCUCUUCAGCUGAGAUUUAACAAGCCGUCUGUUCCAUUGGAAUUGAUCAAAACCAGACUUGAGCUCAGCCACGUCUCUGAUUUGCACGGACCGAAGCCGCCAAGAAUUCAUCCCUCGCUGUUUCCAGUACAUAACUGGGCUCCCGCGGGGAUCCCAGGGCCGGCAGAGGUCUCACCUCCUCUCUUCACGGUGAACCUGAGCAGGGGAGGCCCCCAGCCAGGCCCCCAGUCAUGCUCCUCCCACUCUGGCCACGGUGGGUGGGAGCCGGCUCGGGCCCUCCCCUCGCAUCUGAGCAGCAAGGCUGCCAGCUGGAGCCUGCAUUUCCCUCAUUCACACAGUCAACAAACCUUCCCGGAGCUCCCGAGAACUGUGCUGGGAGGCAGUGGCCCUGCACCUCCUCAGAACUGGCCCCCAGCCUCUCAGGGGUCCUGAGGGGUCACCACGUCUUCCCUUGUUGUUCCUCUUGGUUUAUAAAAGAAAUGAAGAAAUGC